rnacentral:rRNA from 1 species
GAUGAACGCUGGCGGCGUGCCUAAUACAUGCAAGUCGAGCGAAUGGAUUAAGAGCUUGCUCUUAUGAAGUUAGCGGCGGACGGGUGAGUAACACGUGGGUAACCUGCCCAUAAGACUGGGAUAACUCCGGGAAACCGGGGCUAAUACCGGAUAACAUUUUGAACCGCAUGGUUCGAAAUUGAAAGGCGGCUUCGGCUGUCACUUAUGGAUGGACCCGCGUCGCAUUAGCUAGUUGGUGAGGUAACGGCUCACCAAGACAACGAUGCGUAGCCGACCGGGGGAGGUGAUCGGCCACACUGGGACUGAGACACGGCCCAGACUCCUACGGGAGGCAGCAGUAGGGAAUCUUCCGCAAUGGACGAAAGUCUGACGGAGCAACGCCGCGUGAGUGAUGAAGGCUUUCGGGUCGUAAAACGCUGUUGUUAGGGAAGAACAAGUGCUAGUUGAAUAAGCUGGCACCUUGACGGUACCUAACCAGAAAGCCACGGCUAACUACGUGCCAGCAGCCGCCGUAA